rnacentral:rRNA from 1 species
CCUACGGGAGGCUGCAGUGAGGAAUAUUGGUCAAUGAGGGCAACCUUGAACCAGCCAAGUCGCGUGAAGGAUGACUGUCCUAAGGAUUGUAAACUUCUUUUAUAUGGGAAUAAUUGUAGCCACGUGUGGUUAUUUGCAUGUACCAUAUGAAUAAGGAUCGGCUAACUCCGUGCCAGCAGCCGCGGUAAUACGGAGGAUCCAAGCGUUAUCCGGAUUUAUUGGGUUUAAAGGGUGCGCAGGCGGGAGAUUAAGUCGGUGGUGAAAUUUUGCGGCUCAACCGUAAGAGUGCCAUCGAAACUGGUUUUCUUGAGUGUAGAUGAAGUAGGCGGAAUUUGUGGUGUAGCGGUGAAAUGCAUAGAUAUCACGAGGAACUCCGAUUGCGCAGGCAGCUUACUAAACUACUACUGACGCUCAUGCACGAAGGCGUGGGGAUCAAACAGGAUUAGAUACCCUAGUAGUC